AGAGUGUUUGUAAUAAACCACCUUGUCUGCAUGCCAAGAGAUUGCCACAGAGAGAAACAAAUUGCUGCUGAUGACAGAGGAAAAGAGUCUUCAGAAAGUCCCUUUCAGAAAGCUUUUGAUGAGAUGAUGCGAGAGACUUGGCAGUCUUACAUUGGAAGCAAGAUAAUUGAUUUGAGUUUGUUAUGACACUGCAACUUGUUACAACAAGCAGUCUGCCCUCUGCAAGAGCAGAGCAAGAGGAGAGCAGGUCUGUGCACUUCUGCUGGGGUGGAAAUUCUCUGGCUUUCAGUGUUUGCACAGUGAAUUCAAUGUCAACACAUGUACAGACAGCAGAUCUCGGAGGAGUCAGAGUUUCAGGAAAGAAGGAUCCAGUGAUUUUUAUUGUUAAAACAAGCCCUGCUUCUAACUCUGCUGGAAUGCAGCUGCACACUAUGUACUGGAAGUCUGGAUGCCAGGGAAGUGUUAAUCCCUGCAGUCAAGGAAUACCAGACAUGGAUAGGCACAUUCCCAGAAGAGUUACAUUCCAAGGUUUACACUUCCAGUGAAAUUCUGUCUGAGAAGUGCUGGAAAAAGAAAGAUACAGCGUGGGCAGGAAGAGAGAGAGACACCACGUCUUCUUGAGAGACACCAUGACUUAGCAACUCUGUGUCAAAGCUUUUCUUUCAGCUGAAGAGUCAGCAGCAGAAGAGGAGCAGUGAAUUCCAACAGCCAGCAACAUGUACAAGCAAGAGCAAGUCCACCAAACUACUGCUUAAGGAUCUGAUUUUUUGGGAACGCAUGACUGAGCAGAGUGCGCAGAAGAGGAAUUAUCCCCCUUGCAGAACUGACCUGGAAAGUUGCUACAAGCACAGAGCCCACAGAGUGAAGUCCUGGAGCUGUCCUCGGACUAUUUGCUGUAUUUCCUCAUCAGGAGUGAGAGACAGAGCUUUCCUUUACAAUUUCAAGGUGGAAGAUUAAUAUCACUGAUAAAAAGAAAGAAAGUGAAGUCGUCAUCUUCUUGUCUUGUAGGAGAAU